AAUAUUCUACAAUGGGCUAAAGCCUGAUCCAGCCAUGCCGCGUGUGUGAAGACGGNCUNNGGAUUNUNAUGCACUUUAUGUUGNNNNNCAGGGCUGUAAGUUAAUACCUUUCUGUUUUUACGUUACCGAUAGAAUAAGCACCGGCUAACUUCUUGCCAGCAGCCGCGGUAAUACGAAGGGUGCAAGUGUUAAUCGGAAUUACUGGGCGUAAAGGGCGCGUAGGUGGUUUGAUAAGGUGGAAGUGAAAGCCCCGGGCUCAACCUAGGAACUGCUUUCAAAACUGGCAAACUAGAGUAUGGCAGAGGGUGGUGGAAUUUCCUGUGUAGCGGUGAAAUGCGUAGAUAUAGGAAGGAACACCAGUGGCGAAGGCGACCACCUGGGCUAAUACUGACACUGAGGUGCGAAAGCGUGGGGAGCAAAC
rnacentral:rRNA from 1 species